rnacentral:lncRNA from 1 species
GUCAUCUUCUUUGUGAUCUCGUCCUUUCCAAUUUUUCUGAACUGAAGUGACUCUUGCCCUGACAGAUAAUUACUUGUAUUCGCGUUUUGAAUAUUGUGACCAAAUUGUUCUGACGUGCAGUCUCAGACGUCGUCGACACAUGCAAUUUGUGACAAGGUGGCAAUUCUCACACCUCCUCCUUUAGGUUGUGUGUGUGUUGUGCCCUAUAUGUGCAUGAGUGUGUCCAGGACGGACCACUCUUAUUUCCAUUUUCCCAUCGAAGACUGGUCCCCAGGAUUGAUGAUGAUGGAUGCCUGAUUGUGUGUCGAUGUUCUGAUUCUGACAGUGACUUGAAGUUACACGACAGACAUUGAUUGCUUUAAAUACAGUCCACUUCUACUUGUCCGACCUCGAGUUAUCA